AUUUAUGUAGCUCAGUGGUAGAGUGCAUGUGUAAUAUUUAUGAUUUCCUGGGUUCAAUCCCCAGGUCGCUG